CAAGGUCCUGCUACAUUGCUGAGUCUUGCCAAAUUGCUGAGGCUGGCCUCAAACUUUUAAUCCAUUUAUUUCAGCCUCCUCAGUCAUUGAGAUUACAGGCAUACACCACCAUAUCAAAAGGAACUUUAAGUCAUUUCCAAAAGUCAAACUAAUAUAUUAUCACGUCUUUGAAUCAUUUCUCUUCUCCCCAAAUUGAUGUUUUUCAAGCAUUGCUUGAUGACCAAAGAACAUGUCAGUCUGUUUGGAAGGCUUUAAUGAUCUGACAAAUACUGUUAUUAUUUGGAAACAAUUUUUUCAUACUUCUUCCCAAACAGUGCACCUCAAAUGACAGCCUCUCAAUUGAUCUCAGUGUUAGGCAGUUUUUUAUCAUUAAUAUUUAUGUGUUUAUAUUUGAAUGUAAAUUUGAAAAUAAUCUCCAAUUUAAAUAUUUUAUGUAAAUAUAUAAGUAUAGAAAUUAGUUUUGACAUCAAAUCUGAAGACAAUUGCCAACUAUUAGCAAAUGGACAAAAAAAAAAACUCUUUUCGCUAGGAAUCAGGUUGCCAUUAUAUUCUUUUUUUUAUUAUCAAAUGACCUUGCAUGAAAACAGGAAGAGAAAGAUUUUUUUCUCCUUACUAAGCAAAACAGUUGUCCCAAUCUCUGCAAAAUAUUUUCCCUAUAUCUCUGACCCUUCCAGAAUAAAAGAAAUGAUAGCAUGUUUGCUCUUCCACUUCAGGAGGGAAAGAAACUGUAGGAAAAUUACUUUUUUUCCACUUGUGUGAUUUGAGAAAAAGCUACAACUCCAGCCUUUCAAUGUGCAAGGAAAACAAUACACACUUAUUAUACUGCUAUCUGUGGGACCCAAAUGUAUUAAGUUAG
rnacentral:lncRNA from 1 species